rnacentral:lncRNA from 1 species
UUACUGGCGGGUCUCUAAUUCGCUUGGUGCAGGUCGGGAACUGCUUCGGUUUAUAGAUAUCAGAGCCAGGUGGCGCGACGCCGCUGGCUGGCUGCGAUUUCCAGCGGAGCGGGUCCCGCCUUGCAUCAACUGAAUCGGAGACCGCGGUAAUAAAAAUUAGAAAAAAAAAAAAGAAGAAGAAGAGAAACCAGGCCGCGUCAGAGAUCUCUCCGUUUUGCUCUGCUCAUUCAUCAGAUCUCACCUCAGGUUCGCUCGCUCAUAUCGAUUUUGUUCAAUUUAAUCUGAUUUUUAGUAUCCGAAUUAGUAAUAUGGUAGAUC